CCCCUUUCAAAAAAAAAUAUUCUUUUCAUCCACUUUGAUAACGGGGUUUCUCCCACAGCAGAGAUUUAAAAGGGACAGGAAAAUCUGGAAUAGCAUCUUCAACUAAAGAUGUCAAAGCACAAGCUCACUUCCCACGGAAGGUAGCAAUUACUAUUAUCUACUUGACAGCUACAAGAACCUAGGCACAGAGGUUAAGUGCUCUGCAAAUACUACCAGCCAGUGGUGGUUUUCCUGCCAGAACCAAGUUCUUGCCUUCCAGUGGACACCAUUGAUCUCUCAAGAUGAUUCUUUAAGUUAAAAAGCACGAAUCACAAAGGGCCUCAAAACCACAUUAAAAUUUAAGAUUGAUCUGCUCUUCUGCUUCUGAAUGUGAGAGCCUAUACUGGAUCUCUGAAGAAAAUAAAGAUGAGAUGAGGUUCUGAUCCCUUGGACUUCAUGAAGUUACGUGACAGAAAGUAUGAUUGUCUAGCCGAUACUUGACUGUGUGAAACCUUCAUCUACUCCGGAAUCCUGAGGCACAGACUCAGAGGCCCUCUGACUCACGAUUAGGGUUGUCAGGGUGAUGCAACAGCAAGACCAUAGCCUUUGGUGUCGGAAUACCAAGUUUUGAAGCUCAGUUUCCCCACUCACUAAUUUUCAGUGAGCACAUACAUAAUUUGAAAUCUGAAAAUGGACAAUAAUGCCUACCUACUUCAAAAUUUGGUUUGAGAAUCAAGUGAAAUAUUAAUAUAUAUGUAAGCAUUUUAUGAACAAGGAAGCAAGUUAUAAAUGCAUUAUCUUGUUAAUUUAGUCAUUUCACUAGGGGUGGGUCCAAUGUGGGCCUCCUUUGAGGUAGACUGUAUUUCAUGAAUUUAUAAUAAAAUUCUAAAGUUUAACAAAGACAGUACCUGGAAAAAUUACUUUUUCAUGUUUUUAUGUUUUGUGUCCACUCUGUUGCAGUAACAACACAGAUAUAAAAGGAUUUGAGUCUGUUUAUAGUAUUAAUCAGAUUCCCACUCUCAUUCAUAGUGAGAUUUUAAAACCUUUUCUUACACAUCUAAAGGAAAGUGUAUCUGACCCAGUGGUUUUUUCUUUACCCUGUCACUUUAUUUAGUAUGCCUCAUUAACAUCAAAUAAUAAGGUAUUUUAUUUGGGGUCUUCUCUCAUAGUACUAGAAAAUGCAAUUUUGCUAGAUGAAAUUGGUUUCAAUCCUAAAAAACUUAAUAUUUCUUUUCUUACAAAUAAAUGUUUAUACUUUUUUAUAACAUUCAUUUUCCAGAUAAUGUAGACUUGCUCAGAGAUAAUAUUGUAUCAGAAGAUUUAGAAGAGUAAUUUGUUGAGAAUAUAUAGAAUCAUCCUCAAAUA
rnacentral:lncRNA from 10 species